rnacentral:hammerhead_ribozyme from 1 species
AUCCAGCUGACGAGUCCCAAAUAUGACGAAAUCUGCGUUAUCCUGGAU